AGUGAAUAGAUACCCUGGUAGUCCUAGCCGUAAACGAUACUCGCUAGGUGUCGGCCACGGUGCGACCGUUGUCGGUGCCGUAGGGAAAGCCGUGAAGCGAGCCACCUGGGAAGUACGGCCGCAAGGCUGAAACUUAAAGGAAUUGGCGGGGGAGCACCACAACGGGUGGAGCUUGCGGUUUAAAUUGGAUUCAACGCCGGAAAUCUUACCGGGACCGACAGCAACAUGAAGGCCAGGCUGAAGACUUUGCCGGAUUAGCUGAGAGGUGGUGCAUGGCCGUCGUCAGUUCGUACUGUGAAGCAUCCUGUUAAGUCAGGCAACGAGCGAGACCCACGCCCACAGUUGCCAGCGUACUCUCCGGAGUGACGGGUACACUGUGGGGACCGCCGCUGCUAAAGCGGAGGAAGGAAUGGGCAACGGUAGGUCAGUAUGCCCCGAAUAUCCCGGGCUACACGCGAGCUACAAUGGUUGGUACAAUGGGUAUCUACCCCGAAAGGGGAUGAAAUCUCCUAAAGCCAAUCUUAGUUCGGAUUGA
rnacentral:rRNA from 1 species